GUUUAAGUACCUCCGCAUUAUAGAAUGACUAUUUCAAGCAGAAGAGUGCAAAUAUGUUUACCGAUAAAUCAUCAUUUCUCGCCUCUACAAUGUUAAAGUUAUUAAUAAUUUUAUUCGUCCAAUGGGGGCUCAAUGCGCUAGGAAAUUUGACAGAUGAGUGUCACGGAUGGCAUGGACCUCAUUGUCAUCCUCAUUAUUACUGCUCAGGCGGAUUUUUUCGCGCUGGAAACUGCCUCAAACGUCAUCCUUUCGAGUGGUCCGAAGUUCAAGUACCAGGUUAAUAAAUACAUUAAUUGAUAAAUUUAUUAAUAAUUAUUUUUUAUAAUUAAAUUUAUCUAAGCUUUAAAUUUAAAAUUUUAAAAUAGACUAUUUUUUAUCAGUUAAUUACUUAUGUGAUUAUUAAUAUAUUUAGAUAAGUAUAUAAUUAAUAUAUAAUAGAAAUUUGGAGGCAUAUGUGUAAUCGCCGUAUCUGAUUAAUCGCUUACGAAUUAGUUAAUCAGCUGGCAGAAAAUUUCUGUAGUUUAUGACGUCAAUCAAGUAUAUAUAUAUACGCAAAUACAUACAUAUAGCUCAUUAUUUCAUCAUAUCACUUUGAAUAAUUUUACCUGCCGAAUACUUGCGGUUUGAAAAUUUUUAAAUUACAAAAAAAAAAAUGUUUAAAUUUCUAUUAAUUAUUUUACUAAUUGGACUAAUUACACUGGUAACUGAUUCAAUACAACAACCAUACAGACCGUCGUCCUGCUAUGGAGGAUUUAUUUUAAAUGGCAAAUGUGUAAGAAAAUAUGUUCCUCGUGGUUUCAUCGCAAUGAGAGGAUAAAUUUUAAAAAAAUUAAAAUAAUAGAAAAAAAUAAUUUUUUAGUUUUUUCAAAUUAUUAAAGAAAGUAAAUUUUUUUUAGGCGAUAGUGAUAACUGAUAAUAAAUAAACCUGUUAAGAGUAAUAAUAAUAUCGUAUGAGCUGAAAAAAAAGUGAUAAUGAGCUUAAAGUAACAAAAAGUCGGAUGACAACGAGUAUUUAAUUUUAAAAAAAAGUUUAUAAAAUAAACAAAGUUAUUAAAAGAAUGUAAGCUGAAAAACACGAACUCCGAGCGGAUAACAGGCUAGGUAUUUUAUUCAGCCUUGCUCUGGGUGCAAUUAAAACUUUUUGGUCGUUCGUUUUAGGCUGUAGCAUUUCAGUCUCAUUAUUCGCUGGCUAUAAACUUGCAAUAUUAUUUUAAUCCGUCUAGCUUCUUUGCUGAUCAAAUAAACUAGUUGUUUUACUGUAUGUGUAGAUUGAUAAGAUGGUUUGUUACUCGACUGUAUUAUGUAUUAUUGUCGAUUAGUCUUUCAAUCAAAAUUUUAUA